rnacentral:rRNA from 1 species
UACGAAGGGGGCUAGCGUUGCUCGGAAUCACUGGGCGUAAAGCGCACGUAGGCGGAUUGUACAGUCAGGUGUGAAAUUCCCGGGCUCAACCUGGGGGCUGCACUUGAUACGUAGGAACUGGAGUGGGGAAGAGGGUCGUGGAAUUCCCAGUGUAGAGGUGAAAUUCGUAGAUAUUGGGAAGAACACCGGUGGCGAAGGCGGCGACCUGGUCCUUGACUGACGCUGAGGCGCGAAAGCGUGGGGAGCAAACAGG